GACGAACGCUGGCGGCGUGCUUAACACAUGCAAGUCGAACGGAAAGGCCCUGCUUUUGUGGGGUGCUCGAGUGGCGAACGGGUGAGUAACACGUGAGUAACCUGCCCUUGACUUUGGGAUAACUUCAGGAAACUGGGGCUAAUACCGGAUAGGAGCUCCUGCUGCAUGGUGGGGGUUGGAAAGUUUCGGCGGUUGGGGAUGGACUAGCGGCUUAUCAGCUUGUUGGUGGGGUAGUGGCUUACCCAGGCUUUGACGGGUAGCCGGCCUGAGAGGGUGACCGGCCACAUUGGGACUGAGAUACGGCCCAGACUCCUACGGGAGGCAGCAGUGGGGAAUAUUGCACAAUGGGCGGAAGCCUGAUGCAGCAACGCCGCGUGCGGGAUGACGGCCUUCGGGUUGUAAACCGCUUUCGCCUGUGACGAAGCGUGAGUGACGGUAAUGGGUAAAGAAGCACCGGCUAACUACGUG
rnacentral:rRNA from 1 species